CUUACCAAUCCCCACACCAUAAAAGAGGACGCACAAGCCACAACCCCACUAUAAACCACCACAACAGGAGACAACCCAGGAUAGGGGAGAUAGGACACUAAAGGGAGCCGGUGACGAUAGAACAAACAGGGUCUUGGGGACUGGUAGGGUUUGACGACCUGGUGGCGAAGUACAGGGCACCGCAGUGAUUGGCUCAUAAGGUAUUAGCUCGAAUUGACCAGUGUAAAUGUGAUGUGUUCGGUGAUGCAUACAGGAUAAUACUGUAAAAUAC